GAUGAACGCUGGCGGCGUGCCUAAUACAUGCAAGUCGAGCGAAUGGAUUAAGAGCUUGCUCUUAUGAAGUUAGCGGCGGACGGGUGAGUAACACGUGGGUAACCUGCCCAUAAGACUGGGAUAACUCCGGGAAACCGGGGCUAAUACCGGAUAACAUUUUGAACCGCAUGGUUCGAAAUUGAAAGGCGGCUUCGGCUGUCACUUAUGGAUGGACCCGCGUCGCAUUAGCUAGUUGGUGAGGUAAUGGCUCACCAAGGCAACGAUGCGUAGCCGAACUGGAAGGGGGACCGGCCACACUGGGACUGAGAAACGGCCCAGACUCCUACGGGAGGCAGCGGUAGGGAAUCUUCCGCAAUGGACGAAAGUCUGACGGAGCAAAGCCGCGUGAGUGAUGAAGGCUUUCGGGUCGUAAAACUCUGUUGUUAGGGAAGAACAAGUGCUAGUUGAAUAAGCUGGCACCUUGACGGUACCUAACCAGAAAGCCACGGCUAACUACGUGCCAGCAGCCGCAGUAA
rnacentral:rRNA from 1 species